GCGGGCGUGGCGAAAUUGGUAGACGCGCCGGAUUUAGGUUCCGGUGGCUUUGUCCGUGGGGGUUCAAGUCCCUUCGCCCGCACCA
rnacentral:tRNA from 1 species